rnacentral:rRNA from 1 species
GGCGCUGGAAGGCGCCACUAAAAGAUGAGGGUGCGGAACAUUAGUUAGUUGGUGAGGUAAUGGCCCACCAAGACUAUGAUGUUUAGCCGGGUCGAGAGACUGAACGGCCACAUUGGGACUGAGAUACGGCCCAAACUCCUACGGGAGGCAGCAGUAGGGAAUAUUCCACAAUGAGCGAAAGCUUGAUGGAGCGACACAGCGUGCACGAUGAAGGUCUUCGGAUUGUAAAGUGCUGUUAUAAGGGAAGAACAUUUGCAAUAGGAAAUGAUUGCAGACUGACGGUACC